rnacentral:lncRNA from 1 species
AGAGAUUCUUGCUUACACAUGGGGAGGACCCGAAAAGCUCUCUGGAGUUUAGGUUACCAGCCUGGGUGGAGCACCAGCAGGGUCUCAGGCGAGCUAGACAGAAUGCCAGCGAUAACCCUCCUACCCCCGGGUCACAUCUGUAGACUGACAAAGAGGCCUGCAAAGAUGUCUGGCUGCUCUCCUGCACUGUACCUCAGAAGAAGCCUUGGGUUCCCCCAGAUGCUGUGAGUGAUAGAUCUAGCUUCACCUUCCCAUGAUGUCCCUCUGGGGUGACCCACAUUGCAGAGGCAUCAGCAGCUUGGACCAGAGCUGCGUAACAUCCUGCUGUUGGGACGACACAUCCAAAUGCCCAUGAUGUGUGCUCGAAGCUCGGGACUUCACACCACUCCUGUUGUUUGACAGAGGGGCAUCAUUUUGUCCUCUGUUCCCUUCUCAUAGAACUAAUGCGUGCCCCAAGUCAGCUCAAGCUGUCCAGCGUGUGAGCUGAACUCUAGGAAGAUUCCUAUCAAAAAUAUUUUCCAACUUUGAUCUGAACUAGAGGUUUCAGAAGCUCUGCUGCUGGGCAUAGAUACAUUUCACUGGAGUGUCUCUGAAGACACCUGGGUCCUGGUUGAUAAAAAUUGUGCAUGAUACUUCGGAGUAAAUGGACAUUUGAGUCCUGUGGAAGGAGUCUCAUUUAGAGGACUAUGGGCAUGACGAAGGGGAAUGCCUGUCUAUAAUGUUCUAUACGUCUAUAUCUAUAGACAUACUGCACCCUACGUAAAAAACCCACUCCAUUUGUGAAAAAAUAGUGUCUAUAAUAUCAAACCCUAGAUAUUUGUGAUGGGGCAUCUUUGGUAAGGGAGGCGAUAGUUCUGGUAUAUUGUGACUAGAGAAAUAGGAAAAGACACACGCGAAGAGGGAGACAGUGCACUUAUGUGUUGGGCCCUGCUGCUGAAGGUCAAAGUUCUCCAUGUCCAGACAGAUCUCUUGAGCUCAGUGCAGGAUGACGUACUCUCUUUUCUUAGCAGGGGCCUCCUCUUCUCAGCCUGAUCUGGGGAGCCCAAUCCCCUUAUCCUGGAGGACUGUUAUGUAGCCUUGGUGAGAUUACAGGUGAACCUGCCCAGCAAGCACCUGGACUUCUUGGAAUGCCUCUCCAUGCACACGAGGCAUUCUCCAGUACCCUAAGCUCUAGUCAAUGAUACCCAUGCUGGAAACCCCUAGCCCCUUCCCCAAAGCUAUACAGCUCUUGGUUCACCCCGAAUAAAGCUGAGCUGCCUCUCUGAAGCCG